CGCGUUGGGCACGGAGGUCAGAUGGGCCUGCCGUGGUAAGUAGCCUGGAAGGCCGCGAUUGGUGGAACACGUUAUCGCGUUGGGCACGGUGGGUCUGAUUGACCCGCCGUGGUAAAUAGCCUGGAAGGCCGCGAUUGUUCCAAGAAAAAAAGAAUCGCGUUGGGCACGGAGGUCAGAUGGGCCUGCCGUGGUAAGUAGCCUGGAAGGCCGCGAUUGGUGGAACACGUUAUCGCGUUGGGCACGGUGGGUCUGAUUGACCCGCCGUGGUAAAUAGCCUGAAAGGCCGCGAUUGUUCCAAGAAAAAAAAGAAUCGCGUUGGGCACGGAGGUCUGAUUGACCUGCCGUGGUAAAUAGCCUGGAAGGCCGCGAUUGUUCCAAGAAAAAGAAUCGCGUUGGGUACGGAGGUCAGAUGGGCCUGCCGUGGUAAGUAGCCUGGAAGGCCGCGAUUAGUGGAAUAUUUUAUCGCGUUGGGCACGGUGGGUCAGAUGAGCCCACCGUGGUAAAUAGCCUGAAAGGCCGCGAUUGUUAUAAGAUAAGAUUGAGUUGCGUGGGCACGGUAGGCCGGUUUGACGUGGUAAUCUGAAAUGCCGCUAUUGUUGUUACUAUUUUAGCUAUAAACUAUAAAGCUGUGAUAGGAUGUUAUUGAUACGCUAAGCAGUGAACUUUUAAGCGUAAACUUGGGCUAGAAGGUAGCGAAGAAUUGCGUUUCGAGGAAAUGUGUUAGAAUUAUGAGAACAAGCAUAGUUGUAUAAAGAAGGAACCAAAAACAGCGAGAGGGAAAUAGAGAGGAAGAUAGAGAGAAAUGUAGGGAGAGUGAAAUGUAGAAAUAGCGAUAGACAAAGGUAGAGAGAGAGAUAGACAAAGGUAGAGAGAGAGAUAGACAAAGGUAGAGAGAGAGAUAGACAAAGGUAGAGAGAGAGAUAGACAAAGGUAGAGAGAGAGAAUGGAAGAUAGAGAGAGAGAUAGAGAAAGGUAGAAAGAGAGAGAGAAAAGCUAGAUAGAGAAAUGUAGAUAGAGAGAGAACGAGAGAGAGAGAGAGAGAGAGAAAUGUAGAUUGGCAGCAAUAUUUGGGUGUCCGAUUAUGUAUGUUUACAUUCCCGCAGUAGUAAUUUUUUUUGAUCUUUUAAGAGAUUGAUGAUGUUUAUCUGAUGCUGUUUAUUUAAUCUUGUAUAACUGAGAGUUUGAGAGAAAUAUUUGAUAGGUUUGAAUAUCGC